rnacentral:tRNA from 3 species
GCGGGUGUGGUGGAAUUGGUAGACGCGCUGGACUCAAAAUCCAGUUCCGAAAGGAGUGCCGGUUCGAUUCCGGCCACCCGCACCA